rnacentral:rRNA from 1 species
CAGUCGCCACGGGAAUACAGAGCAUGCAAGCGUUAUCCGGAAUGAUUGGGCGUAAAGCGUCUGUAGGUGGCACAUACAGUCAGAUGUGAAAUUCCUGGGCUUAACCUGGGGGCUGCAUUUGAUACGUAUGAGCUAGAGUGGGGAAGAGGGUUGUGGAAUUCCCAGUGUAGAGGUGAAAUUCGUAGAUAUUGGGAAGAACACCGGUGGCGAAGGCGGCAACCUGGUCCUUGACUGACGCUGAGGCGCGAAAGCGUGGGGAGCAAACAGGAUUAGAUACCCCCGUAGUCCCUGUCUCUUAUAA